AGCUCUGAAAACCCCCAGUCUAAAAUAAUUACCAAUAACAUCACUCUUAACUGUAGUUUGUAAAAGGAAAAAGAUAUUGCGAUAAUCCCGCUCCCUUUUUCUCUGAUAGCCACACCUUCAUCUGACAUUAAAGUAAAUACUAUAUGUCUCUAAGGAGGCCAAGCUCUCGUUUCGCUUUGUUGAGCAAUACCAGAGUGAGGCUAUAUAGCUGUAAACAAAACCUUUUCCUGUUUCAAUUUGCAUGAAUUUAAGCACUCGCAGUUCACAAAGUUGAUCACCUUUUCGAGAAGUACAGAGAUGCUCUCUAAAAAAGCAACUCGAUAGCAACUGUUUUAAAUAAUCUGAGUGGAGAGAAGAGGGAAAGAUGAAAACCCAGACAAGGGGAAAAGCUUGUCACAGCCUGCUCUAACAGACUUCGGGGGCAACAAGGAGAAACAGAGGCAGGUUCAUGACCGGCUGGAUUUCUCUGCUGCUCCAAUUAAUUCAGAGAAGCACUCAAACUAAUCAGGCUUUGGAAACUAAACACAGAUGUCUCUAAAGGCACGAGGACAAUGAUGGGAAAUCACAGUUUUACAUAUUUGGAAAAAAAUCUCAAUAUAAAUAGAGGCAUCCUCUUCCUAACGUGCUCGCAGAUUUACAGCUCUGAAAUCAUCUAUUUCGGCUUGGGUUUCCCCUCUCUCCCACCCUGCACCCUGACAAAUCAUCCUUGCCUUCUGAGACCGAUAAUCCCAGUUGGCUGCAAUGACACCUACUGGAUGUCAGAACUGAUGAACUGCAGACCCUGCUGCUGCUGAGUUUAGCUGGCGUCACUGCCAAUGCAACGUUCAACACCACAGCCCUCUCCGGCACAGCUCCAGCCCACCGCAGCUCUUCCCGACUGCUUGGAUCUCGGUUACCCCUAUGAAGCAAUUUCCUGCCUCUUUCAGGCUCAUUUCUCAACUCCCAGGAAGAAACGUGGGACCCAAUAUGAUAUCACAGAGGACCAGCAGAAUGCUAACAGGAAUCCAGCCUCCUGAGUGGAAUUUCUCAGAAUUACCUGAAUUCAGUAGGUUUGGAGAGACUCUUGACCAGCAUGUGUUGACCACGGCCUCUGGACAAAGAAACCUUGGAAGAAAAUACUGAUAUGAACCUGAGCCUCUCUUGUGAAUUCUUCAUUUCAAUGGUGGAAUAAGUGACCACAGAUCCAAAUGAGAAAUACAUUACAUUAAGUUUAUUAGGAACUUAAUCAUCCAGUAAGAGACCAAGAACCUUGGAUGAACUUCUCUGUGACUCCAGCUCUAGCAUUCAGCAGAGGAAUUAAAAAACAUAACAGGGUAAUGAAACACUAUUAGAAUCACCCACCCAUCAGUUGAGUAAAGUGCUCCUUCUUAAAGUUAUUCAAAACAAAAACAAACACAAAAGACUGAAAAAGAAACUUACCCUCAUUGGAAAGAUUGUGCUCUGAUCAUGAACAUAAAAUCUGCCUAGAGUCAACACUGGCAAUAAGAUUCUUAGCUUUUAAAGCAGAUGAAUUCAGUAGUUGGUAUAAAGCACAAGAACUGUAAAUAUUUAUUAUAGGGCAUGUGAGUAUGUUGUCCUGUGAGAGUUAAGGAAAAGAGGAAAAUUUGGUUUCAGCCAAAAAAAAGAAGCUGAAACUAUAACCAUUUACAGCCUGUGAAAGAAAAUCAUAAAGAUGCUGUUCAUAGUUGUUGAUUUUUGAAAGAGGAUAAGACAUAAAUGAAUGUACACAUACAUACAUAUACAUAGCUGAAAUAUCUCUAUAACACACCAUUGGUAGGGAUGUACGUAGUGCAUGUGUAUAUAUAUAUAUCCAGCAUGACACUAGAAUAACAUUAAGGAACCUGUCUGUCACAUGCUAUAUACAGUCUGUCUGGGGAGAACUAACUCUGGACUCAGGAGCUAUCUAUGAUCCUUAAUGUUAAAUUUCUUUCAAACCCAUCUACUAUUCAGGAUGCUGGAACGUAUUUGUAGAAUCCUUCUCACAUCAUUUAUCAAAGAGCUUUUCAACAUCUCAGCUCUAGAAAGGUAAUCCCAACCCAUAUGAAUGCAAAAGAACAGUGCAAAGGAAACAAACCCUGACCAGACAGACAGAAGGUAUACAUGAGAGGAAGAAUAACUUUCUAAAUUCCUUGUCAUUUUAUGCCACCUAAGAUAGAUCAUCCAUGUCUGGCUGACACCUCUGUAAAUAAGCUGUUCAAAAAUCAUAACAGACAAAUAAACAAGCAGUGAUAAACCAAC